rnacentral:rRNA from 1 species
UGAGGAAUAUUGGUCAAUGGGCGGGAGCCUGAACCAGCCAAGUCGCGUGAGGGAAGACGGCCCUAUGGGUUGUAAACCUCUUUUGCCGGGGAGCAAGAGGCGCCACGCGUGGCGCCGUGAGAGUACCCGGAGAAAAAGCAUCGGCUAACUCCGUGCCAGCAGCCGCGGUAAUACGGAGGAUGCGAGCGUUAUCCGGAUUUAUUGGGUUUAAAGGGUGCGUAGGCGGGCUGUUAAGUCAGCGGUAAAAUUGCGGGGCUCAACCCCGUCGAGCCGUUGAAACUGGCAGGCCUUGAGUAGGCGAGAAGUGUGCGGAAUGCGUGGUGUAGCGGUGAAAUGCAUAGAUAUCACGCAGAACUCCGAUUGCGAAGGCAGCACGCCGGCGCCUUACUGACGCUGAAGCACGAAAGCGUGGGUAUCGAACAGGAUUAGAUACC